AGUAAUCAAGUUCCGCUCUAUCAAAGAGGGAUACAACUCUGUGUACGACAUAGGAAUCGGGUCAAAAAUGAUCUUCUUCCUCUCAUUACUUGUAUUGGCUUGAUUACCAUUGUAAGGCUGAUAAGCUUGCUGCUGAGGACGAUGUUGCUGAUGUUGAUAUUGCUGAACUGGUCUUCUCUGUUGCUGUUGAGUUGUUGGAAUAGUCACAGCGGCAGCUUGACGAUAU
rnacentral:lncRNA from 1 species